rnacentral:rRNA from 1 species
AAGCGCUUGGCCGAGAUCGUGAGUUUUUUAACAAAUGACCUCAAAUCAGGCAAGAAUACCCGCUGAACUUAAGCAUAUCAAUAAGCGGAGGAAAAGAAACUAACAAGGAUUCCCCUAGUAACGGCGAGUGAAGAGGGAAGAGCUCAAAUUUUAAAUCUGCCUUGUUCCAAGGUCGAGUUGUAAUUUGAAGAAGCGUUUUCUUGGGCUCGCGGCCGGUAGAAGUUCUUUGGAACAGGACAUCAUAGAGGGUGACAAUCCCGUCCGUGACCGGUCGUGCGUUCAUAUACGAUACGCUUUCAAAGAGUCGAGUUGUUUGGGAUUGCAGCUCCAAACGGGUGGUAAACAUCACCUAAGGCUAAAUAUUGGCGAGAGACCGAUAGCGAACAAGUACCGUGAGGGAAAGAUGAAAAGAACUUUGAAAAGAGAGUUAAACAGUACGUGAAAUUGUUGAAAGGGAAACGAUUGAAGUCAGUCGUGCUGGCGCGAAAUCAACCCUCUCGUCUUGAGAUCACAUGGCGCGACGAGCCUCAAAACCGUCACGAAGCGUGAACUCUUGACGAAAAGGUGCACUUUCGUGUCCGCUGGUUAACAUCAAUUUCGAACGUCAUAAAAAGGCUGGAGGGAUGUGGCUCCUUCGGGAGUGUUAUAACCUUUAGCGGAAUGUGGUGUUCGGGAUUGAGGAUUGCAACGAAUACCUUCAGGGCUGUUCCACCUGGCUUCUCAUUGGUAUCCUGGUGACGACAGCUUGCUGACGUCGUUAGGAUCAGCUUCUGAACAGGCUAGAGUGUGAGCAAAUUCGUUAAGGAUGUUAACGUAAUGGCUUUAAACGACC